rnacentral:rRNA from 1 species
UACGGAGGGUGCGAGCGUUAAUCGGAAUUACUGGGCGUAAAGGGUGCGUAGGUUGUUAGAUAAGUUAUCUGUGAAAUUCCUGGGCUUAACCUGGGCAGGUCAGAUAAUACUGUAUAACUCGAGUAUGGGAGAGGGUAGUGGAAUUUCCGGUGUAGCGGUGAAAUGCGUAGAGAUCGGAAGGAACACCAGUGGCGAAGGCGGCUACCUGGCUUAAUACUGACACUGAGGCACGAAAGCGUGGGGAGCAAACAGG